GCGAGGACGUCUGGUUUAAAAGAAACAGUCCCAAAAUAUACUCUGAUCAUGUGGAUUUUUCACCUAGACAGGCUGCCAACAAGAUCAAGGCUUGCGUCGGGGGAAAUUCAGAUGACCACUGAUUAUUGUUUGUGUUUCAAGCAUAAAGAAUUAAGGGAAUACUUCAUCCUAACUUGCUAAUUGAGAGGCUGCAUGCAGCCAGAGCACCAACAUUCUCCGAAAGUUAGUGGCUCAGUGAAGUGUGUUUAAUAUCCGGAAGGUCAGGAAACAAAUGAACAAUGUUCUUCACAGUCAACAAUCAUCCGUCCGCCGAUCAUUUUAAACUGCAUCGAACAGAGAAUUACGCAACAUAAUCUCAUCAAGGAAAUAUAGAAGACACUACCUUUUAUUUCUUUUUGCCAAGAUAUCUGAAUACUAUUAGACUGUGCUAUUUUAUAAACAUUUAGCAUUUUCUUUUUAGUGAUUUUUACAUUUUUAGAAAAUAAAAAUAAAUAAAAAAGAAAUCAAGAAAGUGUAGAUUUAAAUAUAUUGUCAUCAUAAGAAGAACCAAACAAUAAGUACUUAUGUUAGCAUAUGUUUUCCAGACCAUCUGUUAU
rnacentral:lncRNA from 1 species